GGCAAGAUCACAGAAUAGAGAGAGCAUGUGCUUUGCUGUUGGACAUACCUGGGUUCAAAUCCCAGUUUUGCCA
rfam:Myotis brandtii contig316769, whole genome shotgun sequence.